GUAAUUCAGUUUUGCACGAGUCUUGUCUGCCUUAUGUUUGAAUUGCUUUCUCUUCCAGGAAGUUUUAAAUUAAACUUUUAUUUUGUGUCUCCCCCCCCAGUAUCCUGUCCAAGACCAAGCUACCUUUCCUCGUUGGAAUGGACUGGCCGGGCUUUGGCAGUCUGGCCCCUCGAAAGACUAAAGUGACCUCUUCCAGCAGGGGAAGACUUUCUGGCAAGCGGUACCAGAAAGAACUGGAGUUUCUGGAGAAUAAAAGCUGGAGGUGUGCCCCCGAUAAUCCUCGCCCCGGGUGGUGAGUGGUCUGACUUGCAGGGACCGGUGGCCUUGGCCAGGAGCGGUCCUGCCGGACUGUAAUUUUAAUUUCCUGCCUAGGCUGUAAUUUUAAUUUCCUUUGGAUGCUUGGCAAAGCCCUUCUGGGGGAGCCCUAGUGCCUGGCAUGAGCAGAGCGGGCUUCCAGGGAGGUAUUCACCUGGUCAGCGUCAGGAACCAUCCUCCCUGAAGCCUCGGCUCCCUCUUUCCCUUCGGUUGCCGUGGAUGUGCCGGACACCUCUGGCAGGACUAACCCUGUGGCUUUUAUGUCCAACGUGCUGUGUGCCUGCAGGUAAGAAAAGCUGGGAGUGCAGUCCCUCUGCUUUGCUUGCUGUGUCUCUUGGGUAGUGAUUUUGGAGGGGAAUCCCAGAGCGAUUUGGUUUGAAGGGGACCUUCAAAGGCCACCCUGUCUUCCGUGGGCAGGGACACCUUCCCCUCUCAUCCCCGGUUGCUCCAAGUCCCGUCCAGCCUGGCCUGGAACACUUGCAGGGAUCCAGGGGCAGCCUCAGCUUCCCUGUGCAGUGUGCUCUAAUAUCUCUCCACUGGCAUCCUGAAAAAUGUUGUCAGCGUGUUUUGUUGGACGACGGUAAGCGGGACCUGGGUGAAAAGGACAUUCUCUGAGGUGCUGGGAGAAGGAGGGCUCGUGCGGGCACCUCCAGAGACAGUGGGAACGGGAGCGUGCUGCAGAGAAGGAAAAUUCCAGGGGAAUUGCCACGAGAGGAAAUACUUCAGAGGGGCUUCCCUCCAGAUAAGCCCUGAAUGUGCCAGGAGGUUUCAGCCGGGAGAAAGGAGCUGUGGAAGAAAAGCAGCCUAAAAAUAGCCAGCGGGGAUCAUCAGGUUUUCCAGCCAAGAAAAACCAGGAGGGAGAUGAGGGAAUCGGGUUCCAAUUCCUAAAGAUUUGGUGGGUGUAGGAAUGAUUUCUGUGUGUUUUCCAGUCCCUUUUGAUUCCUGGGAUGAUUUUAAAAUGAUGGCUAAAUUGGAGAUGUUGUUUUUGAGAGGAAAUGAUGCCAAAUAAAUGCAAAGUUUGGGGUCAGUUUU